AUUGAACGCUGGCGGCAGGCCUAACACAUGCAAGUCGAACGAGUGGCGGACGGGUGAGUAAUGUCUGGGAAACUGCCUGAUGGAGGGGGAUAACUACUGGAAACGGUAGCUAAUACCGCAUACCAUCAGAUGUGCCCAGAUGGGAUUAGCUUGUUGGUGGGGUAACGGCUAACCAAGGCGACGAUCCCUAGCUGGUCUGAGAGGAUGACCGGCCACACGGGAAUGGAGACACGGUCCAGACUCGUACGUGAGGCAGCAGUGGGGAAUAUUGCACAAUGGGCGCAAGCCUUAUGCAGCCAGGCCGCGUGGAGGAAGAAGGCCUUCGGGUUGUAAAGUACUUUCAGCGGGGAGGCGUUACCCGCAGAAGAAGCACCGGCUAACUCCGUGCCAGCAGCCGCGGUAAUAC
rnacentral:rRNA from 1 species